AGGGUGAAGCGUUGUCCGGAAUUAUUGGGCGUAAAGAGCUCGUAGGCGGUUUGUCGCGUCUGCUGUGAAAACCCGAGGCUCAACCUCGGGCCUGCAGUGGGUACGGGCAGACUAGAGUGCGGUAGGGGAGAUUGGAAUUCCUGGUGUAGCGGUGGAAUGCGCAGAUAUCAGGAGGAACACCAAUGGCGAAGGCAGAUCUCUGGGCCGUAACUGACGCUGAGGAGCGAAAGCAUNGGGAGCGAACAGGAUUAGAUACCCUGGUAGUCCAUGCCGUAAACGUUGGGAACUAGAUGUGGGGACCAUUCCACGGUCUCCGUGUCGNAGCUAACGCAUUAAGUUCCCCGCCUGGGGAGUACGGCCGCAAGGCUAAAACUCAAAGGAAUUGACGGGGGCCCGCACAAGCGGCGGAGCAUGCGGAUUAAUUCGAUGCAACGCGAAGAACCUUACCAAGGCUUGACAUAUAGAGGAAACGGCUGGAAACAGUCGCCCCGCAAGGUCUCUAUACAGGUGGUGCAUGGUUGUCGUCAGCUCGUGUCGUGAGAUGUUGGGUUAAGUCCCGCAACGAGCGCAACCCUCCGUCCUAUUGUUUGCCCAGCACGUAAUGGGUGGGAACUUCAAUGGGAUACUUGCCCGGGGUCAACUCGGAGGAAGGUGGGGAUGACGUCAAAUCAUCAUGCCCCUUAUGUCUUGGGCUUCACGCAUGCUACAAUGGCCGGUACAAAGGGCUGCAAUACCGCAAGGUGGAGCGAAUCCCAAAAAGCCGGUCUCAGUUCGGAUUGAGGUCUGCAACUCGACCUCAUGAAGUCGGAGUCGCUAGUAAUCGCAGAUCAGCAACGCUGCGGUGAAUACGUCCCCGGGCCUUGUACACACCGCCC
rnacentral:rRNA from 1 species